rnacentral:lncRNA from 1 species
CUGCAUUUAUCUUUUUAGAAAAUUUGGUAGCUGGUUUUUUCUUGGCUUGUGUCUUCAUUUUCUCAUCUGUGAAAUGAAUGUGGGGUUUGCAUGGCCUCUCAGUGGGUCAGCCUUCCUUGACCACUCCAUUCACAGGCCCACUCGCCAUGAGAUAUGAGUAACUUUCUGGGGGAAAAAGUAAUAUUUGUCAACUUCUCUGCCUCGGAAAAGAACCUUUGGUAGCUACUGAGUUUGAUUUACUCGUUAAAACUCCUGUAGAAUCUCUGUCAUCAUUCUAAGUUCCACCUGCCUUUUCCGGAACAUCGAAUGAGAGAGAAGAUGUCUAGGAGACAAGGUGGAUGCACAGGUCCCAGAGCAUAGUGAGAAUCCUCUGAUUCUGGAUAAUACUCUGAAGGCCGAAGGAGAGAGUGGAAGAGGUCAAACAUGGAAGAUUUAAAAACUGUUUUAAAAAAUAAUUCUAUCUCUGCCUCUGAAAGCCUACUAAACCUUCCCUGGCCCUUCCGGAUUACUGACCUGUGACUUCUACCACAUAUCUCUUCUGCCGUGAGCAGUGCUUUUGUCAGAGUCGUGGAAAAUUCACUUAAGAAAGCAAAACAAGGAAAUGAGAUGAGCGUUUUUCCUUUUGACCCUCUCAACUAUCCGGGCUGCUCAACAGUUGAGGCUGGUUGACUUGAAUUCCACCCUGAAGCUUAUAAAGUCAUCUCCGGGUUAUUCUGCUAUCAGUGUGGUUAUUUCAGGGAAGAGAAAGGGACAAAGAGACUCGCUCUUUUGCCAAGUGCGUUGUUCCAGGAUGAGCAGGCUAGAGGAAGGAAAAAGAAUGCUUUAUGCUUUAAGUGCCUGCCUUUUCAGCACAAGGAAACCUGCUGCUAUUAUUUUCUCUAUAAUGCACUUUGGUAAAGAUACAUAAUAGACAUUUAUAUAAUGCAUGUAAAAAGUCAGAAAACCAGAAAGUUCUCUGACAGUAACACCUUACAACCUGAUACUGAAGAAAAUAUCCUUGUAAGAUGAGCAUUGUGCAUUUCAUAGAGAUUGCUCUUUUAGUUCCCUAAGCUUAACUGGCAGGCCUAGCAUUUCAUUACAUCUCAUAUAGCGACUGAUUGCUUGGGGCCUCAUAUUCCUUUAAAAGUCAUGCCUUUACUGCCUUUCAGUAAUUGCAUUCUAUGUGUGCAAUGAUCUGAAAGCUAUCUGAGAAGAAAGAGCAUAAUAUUACAUAUAUGUUAGAGAGAAAUGCCAAACCCCUGCACCAUUUCUUGACACUUGAAGAUUUUAAUAGUGCUGAUUCAAUUAUAAUGUAGUCACAUCAUUAAUUUGUAUUACCCUGGUUUGCAAUUUCUAUAGGCUUUUUAAAAGAAAAAUAAACCCAUUUAAAUCUUUUUUUUUUUAAUUUGUGGUUAAUUAGGUAAUUGAAAGGGUCAAUCAAGGAUUUACCAAAUACAUUUCUAAACCAAUGCAAUGGUUCUUGCAAAACAUCCAGCAGGCAAUAAAUGAAUUAAAGGAAAAGAUAUUUAAUGCUAUGAAGAGCAUGCACUAAAAUAUAUAAAUCCAGGAAAAAAAUUAUACGUGAGGAGCAAACUGACAGUUUGUUAGAGCCCAGCUUUGAAAGUCCAAAGGAAGAGGAGAGCAGAAAAAUGACAUCAAGGCCAUAACCAAUAUGAGUAUAGGUCCAAUUAAUUUAUUGACAUAAUUAACACAUAGUAAUGACAUUACAGAAGCAGUCAGCUAGGAAGUGUUCAUAUACACCGUUUGAAUGAAUUCAAAAGAACCCUGUACUUAUCAUAAUUAAAUUAAUCAUUCUGGGAAAGCAACAUAGACUAUGGAGGCCAUAACAGCAGGCCAAAAGUCAUGCAUCCAAUUAAUUUUCUCACCAAAAUAAAACAUCUAGAAUUUUUAUAUCUCAUCAAACUGAA